CAGGGCAGGUCUAUGUGUGUAUCAGGGCAGGUCUAUGUGUGUAUCAGGGCAGGUCUAUGUGUGUAUGAGGGCAGGUCUAUGUGUGUAUCAGGGCAGGUCUAUGUGUGUAUGAGGGCAGGUCUAUGUGUGUAUGAGGGCAGGUCUAUGUGUGUAUCAGGGCAGGUCUAUGUGUGUAUCAGGGCAGGUCUAUGUGUGUAUCAGGGCAGGUCUAUGUGUGUAUGAGGGCAGGUCUAUGUGUGUAUCAGGGCAGGUCUAUGUGUAUGAGGGCAGGUCUAUGUGUGUAUCAGGGCAGGUCUAUGUGUGUAUCAGGGCAGGUCUAUGUGUGUAUCAGGGCAGGCCUAUGUGCUUCCUGCUACUACCAGCUGCUGGCCCAGUUGCUGUUGUCACAGCUGGACCCAGUCAGAGUCUAAUAGAGCUAAUACAACAUAUUAAAGAUGGCCGCCUCUAGUCCACAUGACAGGUC
ensembl:lncRNA